rnacentral:antisense_RNA from 1 species
CUUUUUGCUCACCCCACCUGGUACUCCAUGUCGUAGCUGGGCAGGAUGAUCCGCCCGUGCUUCCACUCGCCGCCCUGGUCCUCGCGGAUGACCCACAGCAGCUUGCUCUCCUGGCUGGCUUCCCGCACCACCUGCAGCGCCACCCCGCGGCCGCCCGUGGCCUGGGACUGUGAAUAUCCUGGACUUGUCAGGGUAGAUGGGCUAGGAUUCUAGAGCCUAGAAUCAAUGCAAUACUCCCUGGACCGCUGCUUUGCUGUUGUUAAUCCUGCUGACCUCAACUUUCUAGCAUUUACUGACUGUACUGCUGAUUUUAUGUUUUUAAAAGGACUUCAGGCCAUUUUCCAUGGAUUUCAGCAGUUAUCUAGUGAGGGAGAAUGAGACAGCUAUAAAGAUACCAGCCACUGAACACUCCAUCAAGGGAUCCCACAGAAGACACAUCCCUCCAUUACUUGCUUCUUGGUUCAUACCAAAACCAGGGAACUAAAGAAUCAUCAAGGGCCCCUGGAGGUUGCUCUCAUGUGAAUGU